rnacentral:piRNA from 1 species
UUUAUUGAGAGAAAUUAUAUU